rnacentral:snoRNA from 1 species
UUGAUCUGAUGAACUAUCCUUAAUCAGGAUCCCUCUACUGAGUAGAACCCAUUAAAAACCAUGCGGUCAAUUUUUCCCUGACUGAUCAUA